rnacentral:rRNA from 1 species
GUGCCAGCCGCCGCGGUAAUACCGGCAGCCCGAGUGAUGGCCACUCUUAUUGGGCCUAAAGCGUCCGUAGCUGGCUGCGCAAGUCCGUCGGGAAAUCCACUCGCCCAACGGGUGGCCGUCCGGUGGAAACUGCAUGGCUUGGGACCGGAAGGCGCGACGGGUACGUCCAGGGUAGGAGUGAAAUCCCGUAAUCCUGGACGGACCGCCGAUGGCGAAAGCACGUCGCGAGAACGGAUCCGACAGUGAGGGACGAAAGCUAGGGUCUCGAACCGGAUUAGAAACCCGAGUAGUCC